AAGUAUCAAUAAGAAUACUCCUCUCUCUACUUCUCUUUAUAUUGUUCUUGUUCUUAUAUUAUUUCAUAACACGUUAUCAGCACGAGUCUUUAACCAAUCGAAUUACUGAGAAGUUCCCGUUCUCCAGUUGCCGCCUCUCCGACAUCCACCGGCGGCGGCAAGUUUUCCGGUUCGCCACCUUCAUCAUCACCUAGAAUUUCUAUACGGAAAAUAGAAGAGAUGGUAUCAUCAUAAAGUAAUGCAACGGGAUGGAAACUCAAGAGGUAUAUUUGAAAUCACAACAUUUAUUGGUAUAUCUUAAAGGUAAGUAAUUUACUUUUCCCUUACAAAUUCUUGAAAUUUUACGAUUUGAUUUCAUAUACAAACAUAG
rnacentral:lncRNA from 1 species